rnacentral:rRNA from 1 species
CCUACGGGAGGCAGCAGUGGGGGAUAUUGCACAAUGGGGGGAACCCUGAUGCAGCGACGCCGCGUGGGUGAAGAAGCGCCUCGGCGCGUAAAGCCCUGUCAGUAGGGAAGAAAAUGACGGUACCUGAAGAAGAAGCCCCGGAUAACUACGUUCCAGCAGCCGAGGUAAUAAGUAGGGGGCAAGCGUAAUCCGGAUUUACUGGGUGUCAAGGGGGCGCAGACGGCGAUGCAAGCCAGGAGUGAAAGGCCGGGGCCCAACCCCGGGACUGCUCUUGGAACUGCGUGGCUGGAGUGCAGGAGGGGCAGGCGGAAGUCCUGGUGUAGCGGGGAAAUGCGUAGAGAUCAGGAGGAACACCGGUGGCGAAGGCGGCCUGCUGGACUGCAACUGACGUUGAGGCCCGAAAGCGUGGGGAGCAAACAGGAUUAGAUACCCCGGUAGUC